rnacentral:rRNA from 1 species
GACGAACGUUGGCGGCGUGCUUAACACAUGCAAGUCGAACGGAAAGGCCCUGCUUUUGUGGGGUGCUCGAGUGGCGAACGGGUGAGUAACACGUGAGUAACCUGCCCUUGGCUUUGGGAUAACUUCAGGAAACUGGGGCUAAUACCGGAUAGGAGCUCCUGCUGCAUGGUGGGGGUUGGAAAGUUUCGGCGGUUGGGGAUGGACUCGCGGCUUAUCAGCUUGUUGGUGGGGUAGUGGCUUACCAAGGCUUUGACGGGUAGCCGGCCUGAGAGGGUGACCGGCCACAUUGGGACUGAGAUACGGCCCAGACUCCUACGGGAGGCAGCAGUGGGGAAUAUUGCACAAUGGGCGGAAGCCUGAUGCAGCAACGCCGCGUGCGGGAUGACGGCCUUCGGGUUGUAAACCGCUUUCGCCUGUGACGAAGCGUGAGUGACGGUAAUGGGUAAAGAAGCACCGGCUAACUACGUGCCAGCAGCCGCGGUGAUACGUAGGGUGCGAGCGUUGUCCGGAUUUAUUGGGCGUAAAGGGCUCGUAGGUGGUUGAUCGCGUCGGAAGUGUAAUCUUGGGGCUUAACCCUGAGCGUGCUUUCGAUACGGGUUGACUUGAGGAAGGUAGGGGAGACUGGAAUUCCUGGUGGAGCGGUGGAAUGCGCAGAUAUCAGGAGGAACACCAGUGGCGAAGGCGGUUCUCUGGGCCUUUCCUGACGCUGAGGAGCGAAAGCGUGGGGAGCGAACAGGCUUAGAUACCCUGGUAGUCCACGCUGUAAACGGUGGGUACUAGGUGUGGGGUCCAUUCCACGGGUUCCGUGCCGUAGCUAACGCUCUAAGUACCCCGCCUGGGGAGUACGGCCGCAAGGCUAAAACCCAAAGGAAUUGACGGGGCCCCGCACAAGCGGCGGAGCAUGCGGAUUAAUUCGAUGCAACGCGUAGAACCUUACCUGGGUUUGACAUGGAUCGGGAGUGCUCAGAGAUGGGUGUGCCUCUUUUGGGGUCGGUUCACAGGUGGUGCAUGGCUGUCGUCAGCUCGUGUCGUGAGAUGUUGGGUUAAGUCCCGCAACGAGCGCAACCCUUGUUCACUGUUGCCAGCACGUUAUGGUGGGGACUCAGUGGAGACCGCCGGGGUCAACUCGGAGGAAGGUGGGGAUGACGUCAAGUCAUCAUGCCCCUUAUGUCCAGGGCUUCACGCAUGCUACAAUGGCUGGUACAGAGAGUGGCGAGCCUGUGAGGGUGAGCGAAUCUCGGAAAGCCGGUCUCAGUUCGGAUUGGGGUCUGCAACUCGACCUCAUGAAGUCGGAGUCGCUAGUAAUCGCAGAUCAGCAACGCUGCGGUGAAUACGUUCCCGGG